rnacentral:rRNA from 1 species
GAUGAACGCUGGCGGCGUGCCUAAUACAUGCAAGUCGAGCGAAUGGAUUAAGAGCUUGCUCUUAUGAAGUUAGCGGCGGACGGGUGAGUAACACGUGGGUAACCUGCCCAUAAGACUGGGAUAACUCCGGGAAACCGGGGCUAAUACCGGAUAACAUUUUGAACCGCAUGGUUCGAAAUUGAAAGGCGGCUUCGGCUGUCACUUAUGGAUGGACCCGCGUCGCAUUAGCUAGUUGGUGAGGUAACGGCUCACCAAGGCAACGAUGCGUAGCCGACCUGAGAGGGUGAUCGGCCACACUGGGACUGAGACACGGCCCAGACUCCUACGGGAGGCAGCAGUAGGGAAUCUUCCGCAAUGGACGAAAGUCUGACGGAGCAACGCCGCGUAAGUGACGAAGGCCUUCGGGUCGUAAAACUCUGUUGUUAGGGAAGAACAAGUGCUAGUUGAAUAAGCUGACACCUUGACGGUACCGGAAGAAGAAGCCCCGGCUAACUUCGUGCCAGCCGCCGCCGUAA